UACGUAGGGGGCAAGCGUUAUCCGGAUUUACUGGGUGUAAAGGGAGCGUAGACGGUUAUGCAAGUCAGAAGUGAAAGCCCAAAGCUCAACUUCGGGACUGCUUUUGGAACUGUGUAACUAGAGUGCAGGAGGGGUAAGCGGAAUUCCUAGUGUAGCGGUGAAAUGCGUAGAUAUUAGGAGGAACACCGGCGGCGAAGGCGGCUUACUGGACUGUAACUGACGUUGAGGCUCGAAAGCGUGGGGAGCAAACAGG
rnacentral:rRNA from 1 species